AUUGAACGCUGGCGGCAUGCUUUACACAUGCAAGUCGAACGGUAACAGGCCUUCGGGUGCUGACGAGUGGCGAACGGGUGAGUAAUGCAUCGGAACGUGCCCAGAGGUGGGGGAUAACGCAGCGAAAGCUGUGCUAAUACCGCAUGUGAUCUGAGGAUGAAAGCGGGGGACCAGGCAGCAAUGUUUGGCCUCGCGCCUUUGGAGCGGCCGAUGUCAGAUUAGGUAGUUGGUGGGGUAAAGGCCUACCAAGCCGACGAUCUGUAGCUGGUCUGAGAGAACGACCAGCCACACUGGGACUGAGACACGGCCCAGACUCCUACGGGAGGCAGCAGUGGGGAAUUUUGGACAAUGGGCGCAAGCCUGAUCCAGCAAUGCCGCGUGCGGGAAGAAGGCCUUCGGGUUGUAAACCGCUUUUGUACGGAACGAAAAGGCUCUGGCUAAUACCUGGGGCUGAUGACGGUACCGUAAGAAUAAGCACCGGCUAACUACGUG
rnacentral:rRNA from 1 species